rnacentral:rRNA from 1 species
CAGCAGCCGCCGCGGUAACACGGAGGGUGCAAGCGUUAUCCGGAUUCACUGGGUUUAAAGGGUGCGUAGGCGGGCAGGUAAGUCAGUGGUGAAAUCUUCGAGCUUAACUCGGAAACUGCCGUUGAUACUAUCUGUCUUGAAUAACGUUGAGGUGAGCGGAAUAUGUCAUGUAGCGGUGAAAUGCUUAGAUAUGACAUAGAACACCGAUUGCGAAGGCAGCUCACUAAGCGCUCAUUGACGCUGAGGCACGAAAGCGUGGGGAUCAAACAGGAUUAGAUACCCGGGUAGUCCCUGUCUCUUAUAC